UCUCGGCAUAAGAGAGCUUCCAUAUCAACAUAAAGCUUUGAGAAAGGCAUUAACAAGAUCUAGAAAGGGUUUUAAGGCAUAAAAGAGAAGGAAAACUGAAGAAUACCUCAAAGAGCUCUUGCUUUCCCUUGAAUCUCUGCUCUACAAUCCUUCUCCUUGCUCCUUUCUUCUUCUCCUUCUUCAAGCCUUCACAAUAGCACACAAAAUCACUUAGAAUCACUCAAGAACGAAUUAGGGUUUUCUCACAGCUUUUGAGGGUGAAGGAGGCGAGAUUGGGGGCUAUAAGGUGGCUUAAAUAGUGGGCAACCCGGGGAUUUAGGGUUUCUCCCAGACGGACAGACUCGCCGAGUCCAGAAUAUGGACUCGCCGAGUCGCCAGCUAACACGUGCUCGAAAUCCCGACCCUACUCGGCGAGUCAGGCUAUGAACUCGCCGAGUCCCUCUUGCAAAACUUCAAAAUAAAUACCAAGGAAUUAUCAUACCGGAGACGGGUCGUUACAAUUCUCCCCCACUUAUCUCAGACUUCGUCCUCGAAGUCUGCUACGGCUGAAUCUGCAAAUAUCUCUGGGUAGUGCUCUCUCAUCUCCUCCUCAGCCUCCCACGUCCACUCAGACCCCUUCCGGUGCUGCCACUGCACCUUCACUAACUGAAUUUCCUUGUUCCUCAAGGUCUUGGUCUUCCGGUCCAGAAUCGCGACCGGCCUCUCAAUAUAAUUCAGGCUGCUAUCAACCUGAAUAUCCUCUAGGGGAACGACUGCUGACUCAUCCACCAAACACUUCCUCAACUGAGACACAUGGAAAGUGUUGUGGAUCUGACUAAGCUCCUCAGGAAGAUCUAACCGAUAAGCAACCCGACCCACCCGGGCCAAAACCCUGAAAGGACCAAUAAAUCUGGGGCCCAACUUGCCCCUCUUCCGGAACCUGAUGACACCCUUCCAAGGUGAGACCUUCAGAAGGACCAUAUCUCCCACCUGGAACUCCAAGUCUGAACGCCUCCUGUCGGCGUAGCUCUUCUGCCGACUCUGCGCAGUCUGCAGUCUACUACGGACCUGCUGGAUCAACUCGGUCGUCUUGAGCACCACCUCUGUGCUCCCGAUGACUCGCUGACCGACCUCGCCCCAACAAAUCGGGGUCCUACACUUCCUCCCAUACAGCAUCUCAAAGGGAGGUCGAUCAAUGCUCGCAUGAUAACUGUUGUUAUACGAGAAUUCCGCUAACGGAAGAUACGUAUCCCAACUGCCACCGAAAUCUAGGACACAUGCCCUAAGCAUGUCCUCGAGAGUCUGAAUCGUCCUCUCGCUCUGCCCGUCUGUCUGAGGGUGGAAAGCGGUGCUGAAAUGGAGACGAGUACCCAUCUCGUCGUGGAACCGCUUCCAGAAUCUGGAUGUGAAACGGACAUCUCGGUCUGACACCACCGAUACCGGCACUCCAUGACGUGCCACAAUCUCUCGCACAUAGAUAUCGGCUAACUUCUCCGCCGAUAUACUCUCCUGGAUCGGGAUAAAAUGGGCACUCUUCGUCAACCGAUCCACUACUACCCAUAUCGAAUCCACUCCACGUGCGGUCCGGGGAAGCUUGGUGACAAAAUCCAUGGUGAUGUCCUCCCAUUUCCACACGGGAAUGUCUAACGGCUGCAUCCUGCCGUGAGGUCUCUGGUGCUCCGCCUUGACCUUCCGGCAGGUCAGGCAUCUCUCGACGUACCAGGCGACGUCCCGCUUCAUGCAGGGCCACCAAUAAUCAGGUCGAAGAUCUCGAUACAUCUUCGUCGCCCCUGGGUGGAUAGAAAACCGAGACUUAUGAGCCUCAUCCAUCAACACUUGCCGUACUCCACCCCAGUACGGUACCCACACUCUCCCGUGAAGCGUCAGCAAACCACGACUAUCAUAAUCAAACGAGGCUACUCGGCCCACGAUCCUCUCACACUUCUGUCUCUCCUCCUUGAGACCCUCUACCUGAGCCUCCUUGAUCCGCUCCAACAACGGAGUGAUCACUGUCAUCCUCAAACAUAGAUCCCUGAUAGGGGCCGCCGACACCUUGCGGCUCAGGGCAUCGGCCACCACAUUGGCCUUCCCUGGAUGGUAAAGGAUCUCACAGUCGUAAUCCUUUAGCACAUCCAACCACCUCCUCUGCCUCAUAUUCAGACUCGGCUGAUCCAUAAGGUACCUCAAACUCUUGUGAUCCGUGUAAAUAGUACAACGGACCCCAUAAAGGUAAUGCCUCCAAAUCUUGAGGGCAAACACAACUGCCCCCAGCUCCAAAUCAUGGGUAGGAUAAUUAGCCUCGUGAGGCUUCAACUGUCUCGAGGCAUAAGCUAUCACAUGGCCUCGCUGCAUCAAAACUGCUCCCAAACCUGUGAUCGAGGCAUCACAAUAGACUACAAAGUCCUCUACUCCCUCUGGCAAGGUAAGGAUCGGAGCCUCGCACAAUCUCUGCCUGAGGGUCUCGAAUGCUGUCUGCUGCUCAGGACCCCAACGAAAUACCACUGACUUCUUGGUCAGUCGGGUGAGCGGCACUGCUAUCUUGGAGAAAUCCUGAAUAAAUCUCCGAUAAUACCCUGCCAACCCUAGGAAGCUCCGAAUCUCAGAUGGAGACUUCGGGACCUCCCACUGCAUCACGGCCUCUAUCUUGGCCGGAUCUACCAAAAUACCCUUCUGGUUGACGAGGUGACCAAGGAACUGCACCUCGCGCAACCAGAACUCACAUUUGGAGAACUUUGCGAAAAGUCUCUCCCUCCUCAAAACCUCCAGCACCUCCCGCAGGUGCUCCUCGUGCUGCUCCUGCGUCUUGGAAUAUACCAAGAUGUCAUCUAUGAACACUAUCACUGACCGAUCCAGCAUCGGCCUACACACGCGGUUCAUGAGAUCCAUGAACGCGGCUGGAGCAUUGGUGAGCCCAAAUGGCAUCACCACAAACUCAUAAUGACCAUACCUGGUCCUGAAAGCAGUCUUCUGUACAUCCUCAUCUCUAACCCGCAUCUGAUGAUAACCGGAGCGUAGAUCGAUCUUGGAGAACCAAGACGCUCCCUGAAGCUGAUCAAACAAAUCAUCUAUCCUCGGAAGUGGGUAACGGUUCUUCACCGUUACCUUAUUCAACUCCCGAUAAUCUAUACACAUACGAUGCGACCCAUCCUUCUUCCUCACAAACAGGAUCGGCGCUCCCCAAGGCGAACUGCUCGGCCGAAUGAAACCCUUGUCUAACAGCUCCUGCAGCUGUGUAGACAACUCCUGCAUCUCAGGGGGAGCUAGUCGAUACGGUGCCUUGGCUAUCGGAGCCGCACCAGGAAUGAGGUCGAUCCUGAACUCAACCUGUCUCUCAGGAGGUAUCCCCGGCAAAUCCUCGGGAAACACGUCCGGGUAGUCUCGAACAAUAGGAACAUCAUCAACUGUCGACUUGCCCUUCUCCCGGGCAUCCAAAACGUAAGCUACAAAACCGGCGCAACCCUGCUGAACAUAGCGCCUCGCCCUUGCGGCGGAACAAAAGGUCGGUCCUCGCUGUGGCCUCUCGCCCUGAAUCACCAACUCUCCCCCACUGGGAGUGCGAACCCUCACUAGCUGAAGCUCACAAUCAAUCACCGCCCCAUUGGGGCUUAGCCAAUCCAUACCCACAAUAACCUUAUUCCCUCGCAGGGGAAUAGGUACCAGAUCCACUGAAAACUGCUCAUCAAAUAACUGAAGAGAACACCCUCUAUGCACUCUGCCGACCCUCACGGUCCUAUCAUCCGCUAUCUCAACCUCUAAUGGACAAUCCAGCUCCCCUGGAGCUCUACUAAAUCUCUUGCUAAGCGCAAGUGAUACGAAUGAUCGGGUAGCCCCCGAAUCGAAUAAUACCAUAGCAGAAAUGCCGUUCACAGAGAACGACCCUGAAUAAAACAUACAAUCAUAAGCAAUAUUCAAUCAAUAAUAAUAAAGAGAUAAAGGGAAGAUACAUACCCGUCACCACAUCAGGAGUCGCUCGCGCCUCCUCUGCUGUCAUCUGAAACGCCCUACUCUUCGCCACUGGCGCAUCAGCUCGGCCCUGCCGGCCAUCUGUAAUCCUCAAGGUAGCAGGGGCAGGUGCAGCCACCUUCCCUGCUGCAGCUAAACUCGGACACUGGGACUUUUUAUGUCCCCUCUGAUUGCACUGAAAGCAAAUCAGAUCUGAUGCUGCGACGGCAGUAGCAGGGGCCGUACAAUCCCUACUCAAAUGCCCAAUCCGACCGCACUUGUAGCAGCCGGAACUCCCUGCCUUGCACGCUCCCUCGUGCAAUCUCCCACACUUGCCACAUCGACCGUGGCUCUGCUGACUCCUAGAUCUGUGAUCUGAAACCUUGGGCUUUUUGCCCGAACCGCCUGAACCCGAAACCGCCUCCGGUUUCCUCUUCUUCUCCAUCUCGAGAUCAAUCUCCCUCUCCCGAGCUCUAGCAAUCAUAUCUUCCAGCGUUUUACAGCUGGACCGGCUCACAAACUGGCGGAUAUCGCUCCGCAACAUCUCAUGAUAACGGGCCUUCUUCAUUUCCUCAUCAGCUACGUACUGAGGAACGAGAAGAGCCCUCUCCCUGAACUUGGCGGUGAUCUCCGCCACUGUCUCUGUAGUCUGGGUGAGGUCCUGAAACUCCCUAGCUAGCUGUUGCACCUCAAUGACCGGUGCAAACUCCGCCCUGAACCUGGUAGAGAAAUCAGCCCAGGUCAUGGCGUCCAAUGCUGCAUCAUCCCCAAUGGCAUGUCCGACCUCCUCCCACCAAUCCCGUGCCCUGUCCUUCAGAAGACAGGACGCCAAUCUGACCUUGUCCCCCUCGGGACAUCUGCUAGUACGGAAAGCGUUGGCCACAUCCGCCAACCAUCUGGUGCUCGCUAUGGGGUCUCGCGCCCCAUGAUAGUCCGGAGCUCCACAUGCCCUGAACUCCCUGAAAGUAAGGGUGCGCGACCCCAUCAUGGCCGCCACCUCGGCACGGAAGGUGCCCAAUCUCUCAUCCAUCAGCUCUAGAAUUCCCUCCUUGAUCGAACCGAAGAUCACAGGAGUCUGCUCUAUAAUGAUGCGCGUAAUCUCCGAAGAAAGAAACUCUCGGGUCUGCUCAUCCAUGCGCUCAUCCCCCGAGCCUGAACCUGAUCCCUCCCCGGCACCUCCACUGCCGGCUGCUGGUCUCGAACGCAAAACCACCAUUCUGAAACACAUCACAACUACAUCAGAAAACAGAAAUAUCUCAAGGGAUCAUUGAUACUACAACUAGCUUCCUGGUCUUGUCUCAGCCUUUCUUGAUUCGAGUACGGAUCCUCUGCUUUCAGUAGUACGGGCCCAUACUACCUUCCACAUCUAUCCGUACUUUCUUCAAGAACUGCCUUGACUCCACCAAGUCACUUCUACUACUACUGAUCUCUGCUACUCUCAUCCUAGGCUUGCCCUAGGGAAACCUCAGACUCAACUCAACUAGUCCUCAGCUGCUGAAGGUCUCCUUAUAAUGCUAAUUAGCCACCACCUGAACACCAUCACAUGUGACGAGGAUCAGAUAAUCCUUCAAGUAAAAGACCCGUCCCUAUAACGGUUGGACUCAAACAAGAGCUGCGCAAUAGGGCCAGUUCCAGCACUCUGGGAUUAUUCAACCCUGAUCACAUGUGGUGUGACGUGUUCACCUAAUGGCUAACUCCCAUCACUCAGAACCCCACAAAGCACGAAGCAAGCAGCAUUCGGAUAAAGGAAACAUACUCAGGCAAAACUAUUCUCAUAACGAGAAACUGUACUAGCAUACAAUGCUAAGCUCAUACUAUCAGGCAUAACCUAAACAGGCUAUCCUACUGCUGUCUACUCAAUACUAGCAUGCAAUACUCAUAAAGCUGUAACACAUAAAGCAGGCACAUAAGGCAUCCUCCUAGAUCCUUAGUCCUAUACUAGCAUGCUGUUCUACUGAAACUGAAACUGAACAAAUAACUUGUAUGGGUAAUUUGGGAGUACUUACUUGAGCUCGGCUGAUCGCAUGCACCACACCCUUAUCUCGUUUAAAAAUUUCUUUCUUUCUAAGUGCUUUCAAAAUUCUUUUAGAAAACAUUUUCCUUUUAAAAAUCUUUUUAUUUCCCCUUAGUUUGAGUUCAGAUACACCCGGAAGUGUAUCCGAAUCCCUCAAACCAGGGCUCUGAUACCAACUUGAAACGACCCAAAAAUACGACCCAAAAAUUUCAUUUUUCAAUAUAACCAAAAACCAUAAUCUGAGUGUCAUAUCAUAAAACCAUACGUGAUGUAUCCCAAACAUAAUAAAAACACUGUGCGGAAAACUGUAUCAUAUCUAUGUCAUAUCAAAAUCAAAAACUAAAUCAACUCCCAGGAUAAAAGCUGAAGCUGUGGUGUGUGCGAUGCCAUCAUCCCGAGCUCUUCCCUCUGCUUGCGGAAGUACCUGAAACCAAAACUAAAACUGUAAGCACGAAGCUUAGUGAGCUCCCCCAAACUACCACAUACCAUACAAUACAUAUAAAGCACAUACUGGGCCUUGCCCACUGCAUCAGACCGAAGUCUGGAACUAGCUGCAUCGGACCGAAGUCCGGAACUGACUGGGACCUUGUCCCCUGCAUCGGACCAGAGUCCGGAACUAACUGCAUCGGACCGAAGUCCGGAACUGACUGCAUCGGACCGAAGUCCGGAACUAACUGCAUCGGACCGAAGUCCGGAACUGACUGCAUCGGACCGAAGUCCGGAACUGACUGAUCAUGGCAUAGCAUAAAACAUAACAACUAUUAUAAUCACAUAUACUGCAUACUGCAUCGGAACAGAGUCCGGAACACAUAACACAAAUAUGCUUGAAUCACAAAGACAUCAAGCACUCUAGCUACUGCAUCAGACCAAAGUCCGGAACUACUGAUAAUUAAACGGGCCGGCAUUGUGGCCGUAGACCCGUUCCUACUGAAAGGAAACUCACCUCGUGAACUGGCUGCUGAGUGAAUAGCUCUGAGGGCUAACUGCUGCUGCUCCGGUAUCUCCCCGGCUACAAGUCCAUAAACACACUCAAUCAAAUACUAAACACUGCACUGGGUAAAAUGACUCUUUUACCCUUGGUCAAAGUCAACCCUCGGACAAAGUCAACUCUCGGUCAAAGUCAACCCACAGUUGACCUGACUCGCCGAGUUGGGCCGCCAACUCGCCGAGUCCCUAUUCUCACUCCUCGACCCUACUCGCUGCUACUCGUCGAGUAUGGCAUCGACUCGACGAGUACUCUCUCGAUCCAAGAACUCAGACAAUCUUCAUCCGACUCGCCGAGUCAUAUGAACAACUCGACGAGUUGUUCUUGAGCUUAAGAAGAUUGCCUUGGACUCGCCGAGUUGUAUGAACAACUCGCCGAGUCCCUCCAUUACUGAGUCUACCCUCAAACUCGCUGAGUCCACUCCACUACUCACUGGUCCCACUCGACACCGCUCAAAAGGAAGAAAUCGGGGACUCGCGACUCGACUCGCCGAGUCGUUCUUCCGACUCGCCGAGUCACCGCCAUGCAACUAUUCUACACUCGAUUCUGCUCGAAUCCAAUACAUACAAAUGAUAGAUCUGAGUCCAAUAAGCUGAUUUACCACGUAAAGUUUCCAACUUUACGUGUACAAACACAUGAACAAGGGAAUAAAGGCUAAAAGAUGCUUAAAAGGGGUAGAUCUAGGGUUAAUAUGCAAAAUAGCUCCAUAAAGGCAAUAGAUCUGGGCUCUACAACUCCUAAAUGAACAGAUCUAAGGUUAUCUCGGCAUAAGAGAGCUUCCAUAUCAACAUAAAGCUUUGAGAAAGGCAUUAACAAGAUCUAGAAAGGGUUUUAAGGCAUAAAAGAGAAGGAAAACUGAAAAAUACCUCAAAGAGCUCUUGCUUUCCCUUGAAUCUCUGCUCUACAAUCCUUCUCCUUGUUCCUUUCUUCUUCUCCUUCUUCAAGCCUUCACAAUAGCACACAAAAAUCACUUAGAAUCACUCAAGAACGAAUUAGGGUUUUCUCACAGCUUUUGAGGGUGAAGGAGGCGAGAUUGGGGGCUAUAAGGUGGCUUAAAUAGUGGGCAACCCGGGGAUUUAGGGUUUCUCCCAGACGGACAGACUCGCCGAGUCCAGAAUAUGGACUCGCCGAGUCGCCAGCCAAC
rnacentral:lncRNA from 1 species